ensembl:lincRNA
GUCCCCACAAGGAUAAUGUUUAUUGAAUUUCAAUUCAAGCUCACGGGCCCUGAUUAAGAACCCCUGGACCAACAUAACUUACAGUCUGCAGUUAACAGUAAUAUUGUAAUAUUUUUACAGCAAUGGCAAGGAAGAUACUAUGUCAAUGCUAAAGGUCAGUAAUGGGCGGGUGGAAGGGGGUAUAGGAUCUUCCAUUUUGGAAUAAUGAAAUGCUCUGAAAUGGACUGAACUGCUGACGCACAUCCCCGUGAUGAACCUGAGAGCCCCUGAGGGUCCACCCUGGACGGACUGAACCAGGCGGGGGGCGUGUAACACAGAGACUCGGGGAUGAGUGCGGGACUGUGGUGAGCACACAAACGCGAGAACGUUCUCUCAUGACCUGUAACAAAUGGACCGUAGACACACGGUGUUAAUACUGGGACUGUUUGUGGGGGAAAGCCGCCAAGUGUAAGCUCUGGCCCACGAUAUGAUGACAAUGUUCUUUCAUCGUUGGUAACAAACGUGUCACCACGGUGUAAGGUGGGGGGGCGACGUAUGGGAAUCCCGCGUGAUUGUUUUGUUAACUCACGACUUCUCAAAUAACUUAAAAACGUGCUUCCUCAAGGUCACACAGCUGAAAAGCAGCAGAGCCGGGGUCGGGGCCCCGGAAGCCCAGCCCCAGAGCCCACGCGCUGUCCCUCUAGGCCACAGCGCCCAGGGAGGGUGGGAGCAGGACAAUCGAGCCCCAAAGUGCAGGGGGUGGAGGGGGGCCCCUAAAACAGCCAGGCCUCAGACCACGGGCCCAGCGCCCCGAGGUCCCCGAGAGGACACGGCUCUUGCUCCAGGCCCCACACACACACGGACACACAGGGACACCCAGUCACACUCAGACACCCACGGCCACAUCCAGAGACACACCGACUCGCCCACGCAGACAGGCCUGCAGGGACACGACGCCUCAGCCUCACCGACCGGGCGCAGCCCCUUAGCUCCUGGGGCCGGCUGCAGGAAACGCUCCGCUGCCCAAGCCGUUUUCACUUCAGCUUUUCCUAAAUUUGCUCUGAGGAAGUUGCUGCCUCCUUGGAGGCCUCCCCUCCCUCUCACGCGCUCCAGACCACAUCCCUUCCCUGCCCCCAAUUCUCUGAAAGUGACCAAAAUAAAGUGCCCUGCCCUAGUGGAGCGGGAAGACUCAGAGCACGUGAAGGGACCAGCGAGGCUGCCCGCAGAAGCCAGCAGGGUCGCUCUGGCUGCUGGAUGGAGAAGAGGCAGGGAGGUCCAGGAGGGAAGCAGGAACACCGACCCGGAGAUGACCACAGGAGCAGUCCAGGUGAGAGAGGGCAGGUGCGGCCACAGAGGCAGGUCCCACCCUGCCCUGACCCUGGGGGACUUCUCAAACCACAGCAUCCACCCUAUCCUCACUUGUUUGUUUCCCCCUUCCAUCAGGAGGUCUUCCAGCCAGGAUUUACUGAACACCUGCUACACGCUCAGCUGGUCAGGGGGACAGUGGCCGCAGUCCCUGCUCCAGGCCGAAAGCAGCAAAGACCACAGGCCUGGCGAGGGUGGUGAGAAGCUGAGAGGGCAGAGAGCGCUGCUCCGGGGAACUCAGGUGCGGGCCCAGGGCGCAGAGGCCUCCGAGAGGCCGUGCCGGGGUUGCUGAGCCCGGGAGGGCGAGCUGGGGUCGGCCAGGGCGGAAAAGAGGGGUAAGCAUUCCAGGCAGGGCACACAGCCUGAGGGAGCACCGGGGCGCUGGCCUCCUGCACCUGCCAACGGCUCCCCCUCCUUUGCCUCCUCCAGGCCAACGAGCCCAGAGGAGUCUGGGGGCCUCUGUGAAACGGGGAUCCUCUUCAUGCCUGCCCCACCCAGGCAUGAGGAGUCAGCCAGUGCCAGGUGUGGGGCCUGGCACGCAAGGGGACAACGCACCACAGAGUCUGGAGAAGUAGGAGUCCCCGUGAUGAGGUGCAAUCGAGGGUCCCAAGGAAGGCCUCCAACAGCCCAUCCCCAAAGCCCUCCCCAGCCUGCUUCCUGCUGAGCCUGAAACCUCGCCACAGCUCAGCCCUCACAGCUCAGCUCCAGUCUCCCUCUUCCAGGAAGACUUCCUUGAUUGCUGCAGCCCACAGAGCUCUCUCUCCCUUUCUCUCUCUCCUCACUUUGCACUGGUCUUUGGCCCUCUGAGUCCUAAUCUUGCCUGAGAAAGUGUCCAACUCAGCCCUCCCCUGAUCCCACAGGCAGAUGAGGAAACUGAGGCCCAGACAGGCCUCAUGAGGUUGCACAGUGAGUUCUCAGGGGAGCUGGGCCAGGGGCCGCUCAGCCACUGCACGGUACUCCGUGUCCCUCAGUCGGCACAGGUCAGAUUUGCCAUUGGCACGUUUAAAAUGAAUUACAGCACACUUCAUGCACGCUGAGGCCCAGGGCGGGCAGCUCCCCGCGGCUGCGUGCCUUGCUCCUGCGCAGCUGGGAGGCCCGUCGAGACGGGACCGUGGCUCCCUGCUCGGCACUCCUGGCCUCCCCAGCCGAGGCGCCGGGCGGUCCUUCAGCCACCCUUUG